rnacentral:lncRNA from 1 species
CCCACUUGCAGGUCGGGCACUGAGUGCCUGGACAGAGAGUUAGGUCCCCCGCUUACCCCGCCCUAAGGCUGCGGAAGGCGGCGCCAUCGGUCGCCAUGGAAAUCGCGGCGGAUGGGCGGAUCCUGGGCAGGUUGGCUGGGUCGGGCUGCCCGGGCGACGCCGGAGUUGCAGUUGGAGGCUGCGGGAAUACAAAGGUAAGAGAGCAACUCCUGGGUUCCCUUGACUCGACAGUGACACUGACUGCCGGGUAACUGUCUCUCAGGACAUUUGUGCUUUGAGUCUCUGCAACUCUGGACCAUCUCUGCAGGCUAAAAGAUGUGCCUGUUGCUAAGAGGAGGAGCCCUGCAGCAGGAAUCCGGUGCCAGCUGACCUGGAACAACCUGAUCUCCAGAAAGCAUCCCUGUUAUACUCAAAUGGGCCUUCCAGAUGAGCCCUGUAAGGAUAUGCAUGAUAGCAAAAGCUCAGGACAGCCUUUUUAUGUUACUGUUGUUCUUAACUUUUGACUUACUCCCUUUAGGGAUCCAGCCUUUACUGUUGUUCUUAACUUUUGACUUAUUCUCUUUAGGGAUCCAGCCUUUCUUUGACUAUGAACCUAAACGUAAGAAAGAGAAGUUUCUUGACUCCCUAAAAACGAGUCAUAAUGCUUUCUGAAACUGAGUCUCUUCUGCUUCUGGAAACUGAGUCUUAGUGCAAAGAAAUCCCUCUGUAUUUUCUUGAUUUCCAUCUUGAUUCUCUAUUUUAAAGAUAAAAUAGCUGUUGCUUUGUGUCUGUGUAGAGUGUGGCAAAAAGAGAGGAAACAGAAAAAGAUAAAAGGACCAUCUCUCUCACUUUUAAAAUCUCUUUUCCUUAAGGUAUCCUUGAAUAUCUCUCUUCAUUAUGCCCUAAAACAUUUUCCCUGCAAUUGAUGCUAUCCAGCCAGUGUUUUUUUAGUAGCACCUAUAAUUCAAAUGCAUAUAAUCCAGAAUCCAGCCCUAACUUCACACCUGAGUUUCUAGACCAACUAAACAUCCCACAGGUACUUCAGGCUCACUAGAUCCAAGUCUAACUCAUUAUCUUUGUACCAAAACAGUAUUUUUUAAUUAAAAUUUUAAAAAAAAUAAUUAUAAAUAAAAAACACUGGCUCUAUUGGAACUGAGCCUGGCUAAUGACAUUGUCUUUUCCCACUCACCCAAACUAGGCAUUUAAAAAUCAAACUUGACUCCCCCACUCUGACUCUAUGCCAAUUCUAUCAGUCGCUGAGUCACUGUUUGACCCUACUCCAAGCUUUCCAAUCUUCUCAGGAACCAUGCUGAUAUCAAGACUGUGUCCUGUGGAAUAUCUAAUAUAUGUGACACCCGGAGGAGUCAUUUUUUAACACCUCCCUUCUCUAUACAACAAAAUUAUUUUCAAUAAUGG